rnacentral:rRNA from 1 species
GAUGAACGCUAGCGAUAGGCCUAACACAUGCAAGUCGAGGGGCAGCAUAGAGUAGCAAUACUUUGAUGGCGACCGGCGCACGGGUGAGUAACACGUAUGCAACCUACCUACAUCAGGGGAAUAACCCGGAGAAAUUCGGACUAAUACCGCAUAAUACAGGGAUGCCGCAUGGCAAUAUUUGUUAAAGAUUUAUCGGAUGUAGAUGGGCAUGCGUUCCAUUAGCUAGUUGGUAAGGUAACGGCUUACCAAGGCAACGAUGGAUAGGGGAACUGAGAGGUUUGCCCCCCACACUGGAACUGAGACACGGACCAGACUCCUACGGGAGGCAGCAGUGAGGAAUAUUGGUCAAUGGACGAGAGUCUGAACCAGCCAAAUCGCGUGAAGGAAGACUGCCCUACGGGUUGUAAACUUCCUUUGUACAGGAAUAAAAGACAUUACGUGUAAUGUAUUGCAUGUACUGUACGAAUAGGCAUCGGCUAACUCCGUGCCAGCCGCCGCAGUAA